rnacentral:rRNA from 1 species
GUCUAGAGGCUUCGGCAAUGGGGGAAACCCUGACCGAGCGACGCCGCGUGCGGGAUGAAGCCCUUCGGGGUGUAAACCGCUUUCGGCUGGGGAAAAGGCCUGGGAGGUGAUCCCAGGAUUGAUCGUCCCGGCAGAAGAAGCCCCGGCUAACUCCGUGCCAGCAGCCGCGGUAAUACGGAGGGGGCAAGCGUUAUUCGGAUUUAUUGGGCGUAAAGGGCGCGUAGGCGGCCCGGCAAGUCCGAUGUGAAAUCUCCACAGCUCACCUGGGAGAGGCCAUUGGAAACUGCCGGGCUUGAGGUCCGGAGAGGCCGGCGGAAUUCCCGGUGUAGCGGUGGAAUGCGUAGAUAUCGGGAAGAACACCAGUGGCGAAGGCGGCUGGCUGGACGGCACCUGACGCUGAGGCGCGAAAGUGCGGGGAGCAAACGGGAUUAGAAACCCCAGUAGUCC